UAAAAUAAUAUUCAUUAAACUGUAUGAUGUGCUUUACAAUAAUGUUCAUCAGUGUAUGCCUAUCUAAUAAACUAUUUUCAGCUAGCAUGUUGAUUAUGACUCAACAAACAAGAAGCUGUUGGAUUCCACUUUCUUGGUGCAAAGAAGAAGUCGAACAGCAAGAAGAAGGAAUUGAUAGGAGCAAAGCUUUGUGAAGAUCUCCAGCAGUUACGCCUUUCUUGAUUAGCAAAAUGAUGUAGUCCAUGAAGGCUGAAUCACAGGGUAAUGUAAUAGGACCACCACUCGGCAGCCCAAAUUCUUCUUCAGACAUGUUCAAGAGUUGCCUAAUGAUCUCAUUUUCAAGGUAAACCAAUGGAAUGCCAAAGCGAACUUGAUCAGCUGUAUAUACUACAAAAUGUCCUUUUUCAACUAUAGACGAUGAAGACGUACUACAACUGUCUGCAUGACUACCAUUUCUUGGAAAUGAAAUCCUCUUCCUCUGCAUUGCUGCAAACUUCUGCCAUUUCCUAGCCAUUUUGAUGAGUUUCUUAGUACUAAUCAUUGUCAUUUUCUUUUCUAGAAGAUUAAAACCAAGAAAGUGAAUAACAAAUUUAGAGAUUUUUGAUGGCUAAAUUGAUAUUGCUUGUGCUUGGUGAUGAAAAGGCUCAUGAAAGUGGGAUUAUUUAUACAAGAGGAGCUGAUAAGUUUGUUAGGCAAAGCCAUGUGCUGAUGGGGCCUUGAGUUUGUGGAUGAAACUAAGUUUGAAUACAAAAGACGAUAAGUUUCUUCAUUGCUGGUGAGAAGCAAAACCAUGUUCUUCUCUCUUCUUUGUCAUGUAGAUAGGUGACCCUUAGAUUUCCAUUGUUGCAUCAAAUUCAUCAAUCCUUAUCGAUUUUAUUUUGAGGGUGUCUGUAAAAUAAGAUUGGGGCCUAAUUUAUUGUUUGAACACUUGACAAUAACAUGGUAAGCAAAGCCAUGUGAAGCUUCAUGUGCUAUUGUCUCUCAUCACCAGUGGCCACCAAAUUCUCUUUCACAUUUUAUUUGAAUAUCAAACUUACCACUAAUUUUGUAUAUAUACAUAGAAAGUUUUUCUAUGCAAAACACAAGUCUCACUUGCUGAGUAUUACUCAAAAUACUUCAUUCCUUUUCUUUUUCACUCAUCAUUUGACGUUACAAAAGUAUCUCGCAAUGGGUAUCAAAAUGAGUCCUCUUAUUCAAGGUACUAGAAUAUUGAGGAGGUUUUCAAAUUCCAGAGGUGUUCCCAAAGGACAUUGUGCUGUAUAUGUAGGAGAGAGCCAGAAGAAGAGAUUUGUUGUACCAAUAUCUUACUUGAGCAAGCCUUUAUUUCAAGACUUGUUAACUCAAGCUGAAGAGCAGUUUGGCUUCGAUCAUCCAAUGGGCGGUCUCACAAUACCUUGCAAAGAAGACGUGUUUGUUGAUCUCACAUCCCGCUUGAGAUCAUGAAUCGUAUCAAAGUGCAAAUUCUCUUGCACAAGAAAUUUUGUAAAGUAGUAGUAGGACUUAGAUAUUAGAAAGAGUAAAAUCCACUGUAUAGUUCAGAAACACAAGAAACUAGAAAUUUCUUCAAUGAUCAAUUCAUGAAUAGAAAAAGUACUGGUUCUGAUAAUCACUAUUGUGGUAGUAUUUUCUAUAACAAUUCGGCGCAAACAAAAUAAUUAAGUCCCAGCUUGCAACAGUUGCAGUAUGUGGCACAAACUAGCACAUCGAAAAAAGUACCAUUUAGCGGAAUAAGAAUGUUAUUUGAAUUUUUUCUCACCAGCUCCACCUAAUUUGUCUCGAGUCUCGACUACUGAACUUUUGGAUGUGAGACUUACCAUAACAUGUAUUGUGCCAAAAUAUUUCCUUUUCUGUUCUUUUUUCAAGAUUAUUUGUUUCUUGUUGUUGUUUGAUACUAAAAUAGCAAGAUGAACUAAACCGGAAGAACACAGUUUAUUGAUCUUCAAGCUGAUUAAAUAAAUAAAGGAACAUCUUCUCCUAGAUCACGAGCUGCAAACUCCCAAUUUUUCUCUAAGAAAUUUGAAUCUGCUGAUACGAAAUGACUUGGUAUAAAUGUUCGCCGCUUAAAUCUCUGAUUUGCAACAGAGUAAAACCACUUCAUCAUUCUUCUGCACUUCCCUCAAGAAAUAAAACUUGAUGUUGAAGUGCUUGGUCCUUCCAUUAAACAAUCUGUUGGAGAACUUAGCCGUGAAAAUGAAAAAUGAACGAAAAAGAUCCGUAUAAUGUAAUAUUGAUUAGAUAAGACUAAGAUUUAGUUGUGUUGUUGUUACACUCAACAUUACUUCUGGUUUUUGUCAAUUGUCCUUAUAUAGUUAAAAAGUUGUAUGACUGUUUUAAGAUAAAAAGCGAGAUUUAGCAAGUGUACUAGUUCUAGAGAACUUAUUUCAGUUGAAAGAUAAAACGGAUGUGAUUAGAACAAAGUAGAUACACAUUGUUAGGACUUCUAAUAACCAAAUUGAAAAGUGAAGCCAUGGAUAUGGUAAAUAUAUUCAAUCUGUAUGAUGCGCUUUACAAUUGUGUUCUUCAUUCUAUGCCCUAUCUAAAACAACAUUUUGCUAAAUGUUGAUUAUGACUCAACAAACAAGAAGCUGUUGGUUUCCACUUUCUCGGUGCAAAGAAGAAGUCGAACAACAACAUGAAGGAAUUGAUAGGAUCAAUGCUUUGUGAAGAUCUCCGGAAGUUACGCUUUUCCUUAUUAGCGAAAUGAUAUAGUCCAUGAAGGCUGAGUCACAAGGUAAUGUAAUAGGAGCACCACUCGGAAGACCAAAUUCUUCUUCAGACAUGUUCAAAAGUUGCCUAAUGAUCUCAUUUUCAAGAUAAACCAAGGGAAUCAUGAAACGCUUUUGAUCAGCUGUAUAUACUGCAAAAUGUCCUUUUUCAAUUAUAGACGAUGAAGACGUACCACAAUAAUCUGCUUCACUGCCAUUUCUUGAAAAUGAAAUCCUCUUCCUCUGCAUAGCUGCAAACUUCUGCCAUUUCCUAACCAUUUUGAUGAGUUUCUUGGUACUAAUCAUUGCCAUUUUCUUUUCGGAAGAUUGGAAAUAAGAAAUUUAGAGACGUUUGGUGGCUGAAUUGAUAACACUUGUGUUUGAUGAUGAAAAGGCUCAAGAAAGAAGGCUUAUUUAUACAAGUUGAGCUGAUAAGUUUGUUAGGCAAAGCCAUGUGCUGAUGUCUGUUGGCCUACUUGGUAUUUCUCAGCAAUGGCUAUAAUUUGAGAAACAAAACCAUGUUCUGCUCUCUUCUUUGUCAUGUAGAUUGGUGACAUUUAGAUUUCCAUCUAGGCAUCAACUCAUCGAUUCUUGUGGAUUUUAUUUCAAAUAAAAGAGGGGCCUAAUGUCAUUCUUCUACACAUUCCUGUCUGAAUACUUAAUGAUAAUAGAGUAAGCAAAACCAUGUGAAGCUUCAUGUCCCAAUGUCUCUCACUAGUGGCCACCAAUUCCUCUUCACCAUUAAACUUGGAUAUGAAAUUUACCACUAACUUUGUAUAUAUACACACACAUAGAAUGCUUUUUUAUGCAAAACACAAGUCUCACUUGCUGUGUAUUUCUCAAAAUCCUUCAUUCUUUCUUCAAAGUCAUCAUUUGAAGUUACAAAAGAGUCUCACUAUGGGUAUCAAAAUGAGUCCCCUUAUUCAAGGUACAAGAAUCUUGAGGAGAUUUUCAAAUUCCAUGGGUGUUCCUAAAGGUCAUUGUGCAGUAUAUGUGGGAGAGAGCCAGAAGAAGAGAUUCAUCGUGCCAAUAUCUUACUUGAGCCAGCCUUUAUUUCAAGACUUGUUAACUCAAGCUGAAGAACAGUUUGGCUUCGAUCAUCCAAUGGGUGGUCUAACAAUACCUUGCAAGGAAGACGUGUUUGUUGAUCUCACAUCCCGCUUGAGAUCAUGAGUAGUAUCAAAGUGCAAAGUCUCUUGCAUAGAAAUUUUGUAAAUUAGUAGACUUAGAUACUACAAAUAGGAGAUUUAAAGAGGAAGUUUUACUGUAUAGUUUAGAAACACAAAAUCAAUAGAAUUUGUUUCCAUGAUCAAUUUAUGAAUAGCAGAAGUGUUUUUUCUUAUCAUCACUAUUUUGUUUACAUUUUCUAAAACAAUGCUGUUAUUCAUUAAAAAUUGCACUGUGUGGAUCAAACUAUCGCAUCUUAGAAAGUAUCGUUUGUGAUAAGUAACAAGAAAUUACUUAGCUGAACCAAGUCAUCAGCUUUAUCUAUACUUGAGUUUUUAAAUUUUUAGGAUGUCCUUGAUUCCAAGUUAUGAGAAUUGAGAAGCAAUGAGGCCUAGUAUUCAACAAGUAUAGUGUAAGACUUGUUCAUAAACUUGUUCAUGCACACUGCAAAAACUUCAUUUUUCUGUGCAUUUCUCGAAAAUCAUAUCUUGAAAGAACGUCUGCAGUUAAUAUUAUACUUGAGUCUUCCUUUAUAUUUCAAGAUUUGUUAGCUCAUAUUGUAUGUCACCUGACUGGUUCUGAAAAUACAACAAAAUUUUUACACCGGAUGCAAACUUUGAAGACAAGCCCUGCUAUACUUAAGAUACUAAUGCAUAUACAUAAAAGGAGGCAUAUUUGAUUGAUUGAUCAUUAGACCUCAUUCGAUCAAGGAGGUACUGCAGUAAGUGAAAUGCGUGGGAUAAAAAAAGUAGUGUUAAUACAUAAGAGGUACCAAUGGAGGAUUAGAUUGUUUAAGUCUUCUCAUCACCAAAUGUAAAAAAGAAAGCUGUGGAUAUGAUAAAUUUUCUCUUUGAUAAAAUAAUAUUCAAUCUGUAUGAACAGCUUUACAAUUGUGUUCAUCAGUGUAUGCCCUAUCUAAAAAAACUAUUUUCAGCUAGCAUGUAUUAUGACUCAACAAACAAAAAGCUGUUGGUUUCCACUUUCUCGGUGCAAAGAAGAAGUCGAACAGCAAGAAGAAGGAAUUGAUAGGAGCAAUGCAUUGUGAAGAUCUCCAGCAGUUAUGCCUUUCUUGAUUAGCAAAAUGAUGUAGUCCAUGAAGGCUGAAUCACAGGGUAAUGUAAUAGGACCACCAUUCAGCAGCCCAAAUUCUUCUUCAGACAUGUUCAAGAGUUGCCUAAUGAUCUCAUUUUCAAGGUAAACCAAUGGAAUGACAAAACGUGCUUGAUCGACUGUAUAUACUACAAAAUGGCCUUUUUCAACCGUAGACGAUGAAGACAUACUGCAACUAUCUGCGUCGCUAACAUUUCUUGGAAAUGAAAUCCUCUUCCUCUGCAUGG
rnacentral:lncRNA from 1 species